rnacentral:rRNA from 1 species
CAACAGCUAGCUUAACCACUUAUAUAACCCAACAAUGUUAAUAACAAAACAUGACCUAACACUAUAAACUAAACCAUUUUUUUACCUGAGUAUGGGAGACAGAAAAGGUUCAACCAAAGCAAUAGAAAAAGUACCGCAAGGGAAAGCUGAAAGAGAAAUGAAACAACCCAUAUAAGCACCAAAAAACAAAGACUAAACCUUGUACCUUUUGCAUCAUGAUUUAGCCAGCACCCUCAAGCAAAGAGACCUUUAGUUUGAAACCCCGAAACCAGGUGAGCUACCCCGAGACAGCCUAUUUAAAUUAGGGCUAACCCGUCUCUGUGGCAAAAGAGUGGGAAGAGCUCCGGGUAGAAGUGACAGACCUACCGAACCUGGUGAUAGCUGGUUGCCUGAGAAAUGGAUAAAAGUUCAGCCUCGUACACCCCAAAUCAAAAAAUAUAACAUUAAGACAAUUAAGGGAAACAUACGAGAGUUAGUUAAAGGGGGUACAGCCCCUCUAACAAAGGAUACAACCUUCACAGGAGGAUAAAGAUCAUAAUAUAUAAAACAUACUGUUUUAGUGGGCCUAAAAGCAGCCAUCUAAAUAGAAAGCGUUAAAGCUCAGACAGAAAGAAGUUUAUUAUACUGAUAAAAAAUCUUAUUCCCCUAAUAAUAUCAGGCUAACCCAUGCCCACAUGGAAGAGAUUAUGCUAAAAUGAGUAACAAGAAGACCUGCUCUUCUCCAAGCACAAGUGUAAACCAGAUCGGACAAACCACUGGAAAUUAACGAACCCAACCCAAGAGAGUAAUGUGAACAACAAAAAAACCAAGAAAACCCCACAAUUUAACCAUCGUUAACCCCACACUGGAGUGCUAUUUAAAGGAAAGACUAAAAGAAAGGGAAGGAACUCGGCAAACACAAGCCUCGCCUGUUUACCAAAAACAUCGCCUCCUGCAACUAAAUUGAGUAUAGGAGGUCCAGCCUGCCCAGUGACUACGGGUUCAACGGCCGCGGUAUUUUGACCGUGCAAAGGUAGCGCAAUCACUUGUCUUUUAAAUAGAGACCUGUAUGAAUGGCUAAACGAGGGCUUAACUGUCUCCCCCUUCAAGUCAGUGAAAUUGAUCUAUCCGUGCAGAAGC